AGUCGUCCUUUCGGGGCCCCCGACCGCGGUAAUUCCAGCUCCAAGAGCGUAUAUUAAAGUUGUUGCAGUUAAAAAGCUCGUAGUUGAACCUUGGGGGCACUGCGCCGGUCCGCCGCAAGGCGAGCACUGGAGGCGGCGCCCCUUUCCUCUGUCGUCUCCCCUUGUGGGGGGUGACAGAAUAUUACUUUGAGUAAAUGAGAGUGUUCAAAGCAGGCGCACGCUUGAAUCUGUUAGCAUGGAAUAAUAGAAUAGGACGCAUGGUUCUAUUUUGUUGGUUUCUAGGACCAUCGUAAUGAUUAAUAGGGACGGUCGGGGGCAUCAGUAUUCAGUUGUCAGAGGUGAAAUUCUUGGAUUUACUGAAGACUAACUACUGCGAAAGCAUUUGCCAAGGACGUUUUCAUUAAUCAAGAACGAAAGUUAGGGGAUCGAAGAUGAUCAGAUACCGUCGUAGUCUUAACCAUAAACUAUGCCGACUAGGGAUCGGGCGGCGUUCAUCUAGUGACGCGCUCGGCACCUUACGAGAAAUCAAAGUUUUUGGGUUCUGGGGGGAGUAUGGUCGCAAGGCUGAAACUUAAAGGAAUUGACGGAAGGGCACCACCAGGAGUGGAGCCUGCGGCUUAAUUUGACUCAACACGGGGAAACUCACCAGGUCCAGACACAAUAAGGAUUGACAGAUUGAGAGCUCUUUCUUGAUUUUGUGGGUGGUGGUGCAUGGCCGUUCUUAGUUGGUGGAGUGAUUUGUCUGCUUAAUUGCGAUAACGAACGAGACCUUAACCUCUAAAUAGUGCUGCCAGCGCUUCUCUGUGCUGGCGCUGCACUUCUUAGGGGGACUAUUGACUUGAAGUCGAUGGAAGUUUGAGGCAAUAACAGGUCAGUAUGGCCCUUAGGA
rnacentral:rRNA from 2 species